rnacentral:rRNA from 1 species
GACGAACGCUGGCGGCGUGCUUAACACAUGCAAGUCGAACGGAAAGGCCCUGCUUUUGUGGGGUGCUCGAGUGGCGAACGGGUGAGUAACACGUGAGUAACCUGCCCUUGACUUUCGGAUAACUUCAGGAAACUGGGGCUAAUACCGGAUAGGAGCUCCUGCAGCAUGGUGGGGGUUGGAUAGUUUCGGCGGUUGGGGAUGGACUCGCGGCUUAUCAGCUUGUUGGUGGGGUAGUUGCUUACCAAGGCGUUGACGGGUAGCCGGCCUGAGUGGGUGACAGGCGACAUUGGGACUGAGGGACGGCCCAGACUCCUACGGGAGGCAGCAGUGGGGAAUAUUGCACAAUGGGCGGAAGCCUGAUGCAGAAGCGCCGCGUGCGGGAUAACGGCCUUCGGGGUAUAAACCGCUUUCGCCUUAGACGAAGCGUGAGUGACGGUAAUGGGUAAAGAAGCACCGGCUAACUACGUG